rnacentral:rRNA from 1 species
CUGCAUGGCUGUCGUCAGCUCGUGUCGUGAGAUGUUGGGUUAAGGUCCCGCAACGAGCGCAACCCUUGCCUUUAGUUGCCAGCAGUUCGGCUGGGCACUCUAAAGGGACUGCCGGUGGUUAAACCGGAGGAAGGUGGGGAGUGACGUCAAGUCCUCAUGGCCUUUAUGACCAGGGCUACACACGUACUACAAUGGCCGAUACAAAGGGCAGCGACACUGCGAGGUGAAGCCAAUCCCGUAAAAUCGGUCUCAGUCCGGAUUGGAGUCUGCAACUCGACUCCAUGAAGUUGGAAUCGCUAGUAAUCGUGGAUCAGCAUGCCACGGUGAAUACGUUCCCGGGCCUU